rnacentral:rRNA from 1 species
UACGGGGGGGGCAAGCGUUGUUCGGAAUUACUGGGCGUAAAGGGCUCGUAGGCGGCCAACUAAGUCAGACGUGAAAUCCCUCGGCUUAACCGGGGAACUGCAUCUGAUACUGGAUGGCUUGAGUUCGGGAGAGGGAUGCGGAAUUCCAGGUGUAGCGGUGAAAUGCGUAGAUAUCAGGAGGAACACCGGUGGCGAAGGCGGGUCUCUGGGCAACAACUGACGCUGAGGAGCGAAAGCGUGGGGAGCGAACAGG